rnacentral:snRNA from 1 species
GUGCUCGCUUCAGCAGCAUAUAUACUAAAAUUGGAAUGAUACAGAGAAGAUUAGCACUGCCCCUGUGCAAGGACGACAUGCAAAUUUGUGAAGUGUUCCAUAUUUUU